CAUGGUUUCUUACCUUUAUUUUUAGGUAUUAUUAGUGGGGGAUGGGAUGUGUGUGCCCUAGUGUGCAUUUGGAGGUCAGAAUUCAGCUAGCUGUUGGUGGAAAAGAAUGCUUCUAUCGUGUGAGUUCCAGGGGUCCACUGAGACUCAGGUCAUUAGGCGUGGUGGUAAGCACCUUUGUCCACGGAGACCUCUGCUGCUAUGGCUUCUUUCUUUCUUUUUUUUUUUUUUUAAGAUUUAUUUAUUUAUUAAGCACACUGUAGCUGUCUUCAGACACACCAGAAAAGGGCAUCGGGUCUCAUUACAGAUGGUUGUGAGCCACCAUGUGGUUGCUGGGAUUUGAACUCAGGACCUCUGAAAGAGCAGUCAGUGCUCUUAACCUCUGAGCCAUCUCUCCAGCCCCUAUGGCUUCUUUCUUUAGUUUUACAAUUUCCAAGAGGAGCAUGGGAUUUGCCCUUCAUUUGCAUAUCCUGGUUUGCUUUCUAUUGCUGUGAUAAAUACCAUGACCAAAAGCAACUUGGA
rnacentral:lncRNA from 1 species